rnacentral:rRNA from 1 species
GUCUACAGCCAUACUACCCUGAACACCCCCAAUCUCAUAAGCUAAGUAGGGUUGGGCCUGGUUAGUACGCGGAUGGGAGACUGCCUGGGAAUACGAGGUGCUGCAGACU